AUACAGAGGGUGCGAGCGUUAAUCGGAAUUACUGGGCGUAAAGCGCGCGUAGGCGGCUACAUAAGUCAGAUGUGAAAUCCCCGGGCUCAACCUGGGAACUGCAUCUGAUACUGGGUAGCUAGAGUUUAGGAGAGGGAAGUAGAAUUUCAGGUGUAGCGGUGAAAUGCAUAGGGAUCUGAAGGAAUACCAGUGGCGAAGGCGGCUUCCUGGCCUAAAACUGACGCUGAGGUGCGAAAGCGUGGGUAGCAAACGGGAUUAGAAACCCCAGUAGUCC
rnacentral:rRNA from 1 species